UGUACUUGUUAUUGGUUGCAGUAUAUGCAACAAUCUAUUUGCCGUUGCUUGUUUACGUUGACGAUUGAUUCGAAAUAAAACAUGAGAACGAGAUAUCUUGUGACCGAUACGCAACGUUUGAGUGCAUAAAAACGAAGAUAUCUUGUGACCCAUACGCAAUAUGUUAAUAUAUUUUAGAGUUUUUCAAAUAUUUAUAUAGAAUCUUAAUAUCGAAGUAUUUUUGCUGCUUAUUUAUCACUUAAAGUUUGAAUAUUUUUUUACUCAAAGAUCUCACUAGGACUAAAAGUCCUAGUAUUUAUUCAGAAAUUCAAUAUCACAGAUUAUCAUCCUCAUCAUCGUUUUUCAAAAACUCGAACAUCAAAUCUUAGAGGGAAUGGAAUGCAGAGUUCCAGCAAAACAGCAUAUUUUUUCUUUCUAAUAGGUAUCCAAUCCAUUGAAGGAAGGUAACUGUAAUGUCUACUUGUUGAAGUUUAAACAUUUUUUUACUCGAAGACCGAACUCACUGAAGAGUUACCCGACACUCAUCAUUUUUUUACUCGAAGACCUCACUGAAGAGUUACCGACACUCAUCAUAGGAUUAAACAUUCAUGAAAUUUCUAACUUUUGCUCAAUUAUUGAUUUCUUUUUAUUAAUAUAUUUUAGAGUUUUUCAAAUAUUUAGAAUCUUAAUAUCGAAAUAUUUUUGCUGCUUAUUUGUCAUUUAAAGUUUAAACAUUUCUAUUUUUAUUUACAGAAACAUGACACAUCAAAAUCUUUAAUAAAAUAUAUUAAAGUAAGUCAUUGAUUUUUAAAAAUAUAUUUACAUAAAAUUUCAUAUUCAUCAACAUAUUUAAAUUAGAAAGAAGAAGACGCGUAUAAAGAAUCAAGAUCAAGAAACCACACUUUAGUGAAUAAUAUAAUUAAAUUUAUUUUAAUGUUUAAUUAAAUUUAUAUCUUCGUUUUUAGCAUUGGACUGUGAUUACCAAAACGUGUUUGGAUAUGCUCUUAACGUCAUAUGCUAAUAAUAGAAAAUUGGUGUCAGAAAUGGCAUUAACGAAAGUAAAAAUAAUAUCGUAAUAAUAAGUAAAUCAGUGCAUAUAACUUUCGUGCUGUUUAAGCACGCAUGUUUUCCCCUUGUAACCAUAAAUGGAGCAGUAAUUCCAAUCAAGGAUUCAGUCAAAUACCUAGGUAUGAUAUUAUCAUAGAUAAAAGACUGAUGUGGAAAAAACAUAAACAAUUAAAAACAAAUUACCUAAAGAAAAAAAUA